AGAUUGAACGCUGGCGGCAUGCUUUACACAUGCAAGUCGUGCGGCAGCGCGGGGGCAACCCUGGCGGCGAGCGGCGAACGGGUGAGGAAUACAUCGGAACGUACCCCGGAGUGGGGGAUAACCCAGCGAAAGUUGGACUAAUACCGCAUAUGCUCUGAGGAGGAAAGCAGGGGACUUCGCAAGAGGCCUUGCGCUCUGGGAGCGGCCGAUGUCCGAUUAGCUAGUUGGUGGGGUAAUGGCUCACCAAGGCGACGAUCGGUAGCUGGUCUGAGAGGAUGAUCAGCCACACUGGGACUGAGACACGGCCCAGACUCCUACGGGAGGCAGCAGUGGGGAAUUUUGGACAAUGGGGGCAACCCUGAUCCAGCCAUGCCGCGUGCGGGAAGAAGGCCUCGGUUGUAACCGCUUUGGUCGGAGAAGGCGAGGCUUGAAUACGGCCUGUCUUGACGUACCGGCAGAAUAAGCACCGGCUAACACGUGCCAGCAGCCGCGGUAAC
rnacentral:rRNA from 1 species